AGUCCCGUGGUCUAGUGGUUAAGAUUUCGCUCUUAUAAUGCGGAUACCCGGGUUCAAACCCCGGCGGGACUA
rnacentral:tRNA from 1 species